UACGUAGGGUGCAAGCGUUGUCCGGAAUUACUGGGCGUAAAGAGCUCGUAGGUGGUUUGUCGCGUCGUCUGGGAAAUCCCGGGGCUUAACUUCGGGCGUGCAGGCGAUACGGGCAUAACUUGAGUGCUGUAGGGGAGACUGGAAUUCCUGGUGUAGCGGUGAAAUGCGCAGAUAUCAGGAGGAACACCGAUGGCGAAGGCAGGUCUCUGGGCAGUUACUGACGCUGAGGAGCGAAAGCAUGGGUAGCGAGCAGGAUUAGA
rnacentral:rRNA from 1 species